GUUACACCUGAUAUUUGUACAGAAGUUUCGAUAUCUACGACCCGUCUAGGCAUAUCUACGCAUCGGCUAUAUUGACAACUAUUCCACCACAGUUUCAACGAACACAGAGAAUCGGAAUUGGAACUACGUUUCACUUUGCCUGAUUUGCACCUUCGUCAAUCGAUACCAUACACCUCGCCACCCUUGCGGUAAUCGGCAUUAGCGUAGACCGUGCCGUUUACACGUACAAUUGCACACACGACACUUCCGCGGUCGCGGUACCUUGAUGUCUCGUGUCCCAUGGCAUGCAGGCCGUCGACCAGAGACUUGGGAACACCGUACUCGUAGGAUACCUCCAUAGGAAUGAGCUGGUGAUGGAUCCGCGCCGCGUCAACUGCCUCUUUAAUCGUCUCUUUGAUCCACAGGUGCCUCGCGAUCACCUGCACCGUCAAGAACAUCUGACUCAACGUUUACAUCCCAAUGACAACCUCAUGCGAUACCCUAGAGGAAGUUUCCCGCGUAUCUGAAUAAGAAGUUCGGACUCACGUAUGCAACCGCUGUGGUGAUUUUUGUCCCGCCUGCAGCUCCCACCACCAUUCGAACGUCGCCAUGCGCGUCGACGAUUAUGCUAGGCGACAUCGAAGAGAGCGGCCUUUUACCAGGCUCGAUUCGGUUGUUGUGGCUAGCCGGAAGCCCGAAGUAGCUUCUUCGCGACGACACACCAAAAUCGUCCAUGCUGCUGCUUGUCAGGAUCCCGGUUCGCUCACUUACGACACCGCUACCAAAACUGGAGAAACGGCAAUGACCAGAUUAGGUGAACAAUGCUGGGGUGUUCGGUGGAAAUUCAAUUGCUCUACUAAGAGUUGCGUUGGUUGACGCUGCUCGUCACGGACACGGCGUCACCGUCAGGGGCUAAUAUUGCUACGUGAGCAGUACCAUGAUCUCCGUUGUUACCCGGCGCGUGUUCCCCAUAAUGACGAGGAUCGUUCGAAGUUCUGUGAUCAUUUAUUCGUCGUCUCACCUCGUCAGCAAAAUUUCUGGAGUUGAUAAGUCAACGUAGGUGGGGUCUGCAAGUUCGGUACGCAAAGCGUACGCGUACUUAAAAGCCUCGAUGAUACGGUGAUGGGUCGUCAAAGUCGCCUGUGGGGUCGCCAUGCUUGAGGAACUGAAAUCGUAUCCAUCGAGGACGUUGAGAAUGAAGGCGAGGAUCGAACCGCUUCCGGGUGGUCCAAUAGUGUAAAGCGUUUCUCCAGUAGAAAGCCUCGUCGUUAUCGGUGAUAUCCAUUUGGCCCUGAUACGUAAAUCCUGAGGAUCAGCUAUGGCCUCGCUGUUCAUGCCGAGCGAGUCGUAUUGGACUUUGGUCAGAUUGUAGCCGGCCUCGCAGAUCUUGAUACUUGGCUCGAAGAGCUCGGCCCAAGGCAGUCGGCCGAAGCGUUGAUGGACGGUCCAGUAUCCAGCCAAUUCUCCGGGAACGGGAAUAGCCAGAGGACCUGGAUGUUACGGACGCAAGAAAAAUUCAAGGAUAGUUUCCAGGACAAGCAAAAUUCAAGGACAUUUCCAGGACCAUUGGACACCACGUUCCAUAAUCGUCACCAAGCAUUCGUCAAACAAUGCGGAGUAAGCGCGUACCAACUUUGACUUACCAAUCUGCGAUGCAAGAGCCGGGUGACCAUUGUAAGUGUCGGAAUCGGCAGCACGAGGUGCGCAUUCACGGGCGUCGAGGGUUGCUGCUUGUUGGCUCGACCUUUGAUAUAUUGUCAUCAGGAAACCACCACCGAACCCCAUGCUCUGCAUGUUUAUCAGACCGUUGCAGAUCAUCGCUGCUAUUGCUGCGUCCACUGCCGAUCCGUUUCGUUUUAGAAUCGACCUAUAGACAAAGAAUUUUGACUAAAAGAAUCUGAGAACUUUAGAUGUAUCCAUAUGCAUGUAUAAAAUAUACAUAUAAAGUAUGGAAUUAGAUGAAACGGAAAUGAUAUUUGAUCCUUGAACAUGCUACCUCAUCUUUCGUCUUGAGAACAAAAUUGCAAAUACAAGUAUAACGAUGAUAUACUUCUAAUGCAUUCUUCUAACGAAUGCUCACCUGCCUGUUACAGCACAUUGCUGUCCAUCGACGCAAACGGCGCCACGUCGAAAAACUCUAAGCUUACUCCACGAAGGAGGCUGUUGAUCCAGUGGAUCAGGAGGAUGGAGUGUCGCGGUCUUUGGUGUCUGGAUUAGUCUCUUCAGGGCUCCGUUCGUCCGGUUGAUCGCUGGGAUCCGAGAGAGGUAGACCUUGGUCCUGAUCCCGCAGGAGUGGAACCCCACUUUCGGUCCUCGCCAUCGAAUCCCCCAGCUGUCUACCCU
rnacentral:lncRNA from 1 species